rnacentral:rRNA from 1 species
GAUGAACGCUGGCGGCGUGCCUAAUACAUGCAAGUCGAGCGAACAGAUAAGGAGCUUGCUCCUUUGACGUUAGCGGCGGACGGGUGAGUAACACGUAGGUAACCUACCUAUAAGACUGGAAUAACUCCGGGAAACCGGGGCUAAUGCCGGAUAACAUGUUGAACCGCAUGGUUCUACAGUGAAAGGCGGCUUUGCUGUCACUUAUAGAUGGACCCGCGCCGUAUUAGCUAGUUGGUGAGGUAACGGCUCACCAAGGCAACGAUACGUAGCCGACCUGAGAGGGUGAUCGGUCACACUGGAACUGAGACACGGUCCAGACUCCUACGGGAGGCAGCAGUAGGGAAUCUUGCGCAAUGGGCGAAAGCCUGACGGAGCAACGCCGCGUGAGUGAUGAAGGUCUUCGGAUUGUAAAACUCUGUUAUUAGGGAAGAACAAAUGCGUAAGUAACUGUGCGCGUCUUGACGGUACCUAAUCAGAAAGCAACGGCUAACUACGUG